GACGAACGCUGGCGGCGUGCUUAACACAUGCAAGUCGAACGGUAAGGCCCUUCGGGGUACACGAGUGGCGAACGGGUGAGUAACACGUGGGUGAUCUGCCCUGCACUUCGGGAUAAGCCUGGGAAACUGGGUCUAAUACCGGAUAGGACCACUGCCUGCAUGGGUGGUGGUGGAAAGCUUUUGCGGUGUGGGAUGGGCCCGCGGCCUAUCAGCUUGUUGGUGGGGUGAUGGCCUACCAAGGCGACGACGGGUAGCCGGCCUGGGAGGGUGACCGGCCACACUGGGACUGAGAUACGGCCCAGACUCCUACGGGAGGCAGCAGUGGGGAAUAUUGCACAAUGGGCGCAAGCCUGAUGCAGCGACGCCGCGUGAGGGAUGACGGCCUUCGGGUUGUAAACCUCUUUCAGCACCGACGAAGCGCAAGUGGCGGUAGGUGCAGAAGAAGGACCGGCCAACUACGUGCCAGCCGCCGCAGUAA
rnacentral:rRNA from 1 species